rnacentral:rRNA from 1 species
UACGUAGGGUGCGAGCGUUGUCCGGAAUUAUUGGGCGUAAAGAGCUCGUAGGCGGUCUGUCGCGUCUGCUGUGAAAACCCGAGGCUCAACCUCGGGCCUGCAGUGGGUACGGGCAGACUAGAGUGCGGUAGGGGAGAAUAGAACUCCUGGUGUAGCGGUGGAAUGCGCAGAUAUCAGGAGGAACACCAAUGGCGAAGGCAGCUCGCUGGGACGGUACUGACGCUGAGACGCGAAAGCGUGGGGAGCAAACAGG